UACGUAGGGGGCUAGCGUUGUCCGGAAUGAUUGGGCGUAAAGCGUCCGCAGGUGGCAAUGUAAGUCUGCUGUUAAAGAGUCUAGCUCAACUAGAUAAAAGCAGUGGAAACUACAUAGCUAGAGUACGUUCGGGGCAGAGGGAAUUCCUGGUGUAGCGGUGAAAUGCGUAGAGAUCAGGAAGAACACCGGUGGCGAAGGCGCUCUGCUAGGCCGUAACUGACACUGAGGGACGAAAGCUAGGGGAGCGAAUGGG
rnacentral:rRNA from 1 species